GUGCUCGCUUCGGCAGCACAUACAAAAUUGGAAUGAUUCAGAGAAGAUUGGCGUGGCCCCUGUGCAAAGAUGACACGCAAACUCAUGAAGCGUUCCAUAUUUAG